ACUUAGGACAGUAAUGGUCUUUUUUUAUGUAUACUUUUAUCUUUCAGUGUACGAACUGUUAUUUGGUUCUUGAGAACGCGCAAUCGCUUGCUGAAGGGCAUCGCCUCCGAGUUAAUAUGCGGAGGGAGACUACGAGAACUUUUCGAGGAUUAGCUGCCCUGGCGGCGGUGCUGUACGUAACCGUAUUCUCGUCCACACUCUGCUGCAUCUCCGACGUAGCCUUCCUCUGCUCCCAGUGUACGGGAAACCUUAUCUGCGUCAGGGCCUUUCUUCUAUGGAACGCAUUCGACAUCGUCGUCACUUUCGUGUGUGACAUCGCACUAUACUAUUUGGUUCAGUCCGUAUCCGACGAGGGCUACAGGGCCUUGAAAAGCGCCACGGAGACCACAAGAGAAGACGUAAGCAAGCCAUUCUUGGUCUUCUUUGUUUAUAUACCAUCUCUACCAAUAUUGCUCACUUAGCUAUGUGGAGGCUAUCGCUCGAUGACUGCCAAGGAAACCUGAUGAUGUUAACGGUGACAGAACACGCCACGAAGGCCGGGGAGAAUGUGCCUUUAAGAGCUUUCGUAACGCAUCUGCACUUUAACGAAGAAGAUGUGGUUUAAAGUAUUCU
rnacentral:lncRNA from 1 species